rnacentral:rRNA from 1 species
GCCUGCGGCCAUACCACCCUGAAAGCGCCCGAUCUCGUCUGAUCUCGGAAACUAAGCAGGGACGGGCUUGGUUAGUACCUGGACUGGGAGACCGCCAUGGGAAUACCAGGUGUUGUAGGCU